rnacentral:lncRNA from 1 species
GUUGGAUUUCAGGAGAUGGGCUGUGGGUUUCUGAGAGGAGCCUAAGUGAAUAUGCUGAUGACUCUGUAGUCCAAGGUGUCCUGGCAAGUCAGCUGAGCAGAGCUGCAAAUGCUUUCCAGGCUCAAAAUCAACUUUCUCAUCUGAUGGCAGCAUGGAUGCCAUGGCCAGACAUUUCAGGCCCUGAAAAACAUUCCAGCCAAACUUGUGAAGAUGGAACCUCCUCCAGCAGAGCCACAGAGGAGAAUUCUGGAAAUGCAGAUUUGCAGAGCGCCCUGGAGCUGAAAGACCACGACACACUUGAUAUUUUUGGGGACUGGGAGGAAAGCCAAAAGGAUGCUGAGGAAGCAGUUCUGGAGGACAAACUGCAGGUUCUGGCAUUGCAGUGAACAUGGAAAACUCAGUUCAGUCUCCACCUUUCUAUGGUUCAGAACCAACAAGAUCAAGAGGUGUUUUAAGUUCUGCUCAAGACAUCAUUAACUAAGGACUAUUCUGUAAAGUUUACAUUAAAACUUCUUGAAAAUACUUUGUUUUGGCUUUUUUUUUUAAAUUAUUACUGUGAAGAAAUAACAGAAAAAAACCUUCUCUUGUGCUGCUAUUCUUUAGGAUUGUUUUAUUUAUUGUUUUUAAUUCACUGUAAGUUUUCUUGUCUGCAGGUGGAAUUUUGUGUCUGCAAAUGUGGUUUUAUGUGGCCAAGCAGGAAGGUGCCACACCAGGGGUAUUAAUGGGAUAAAUUGGGGUUUCUGAAUGAUCAGGUUUGUGGUGAGAAGCACAGGAGGAGUCUCUAAGGUCAAAUACACUUUGUCAGAUGUUUUAGAAAAGACUUGCACCUUACAGAAUAGAAUUUAACAGCUUUCCACUGCACACUUAACUUCUCCUGCCACACUUCUAACUCCAGUAGGGAGCCCAGACCAGCAGCAAACCUCUGCUCAGAAUCAAUUGGGAGUGAAUUCCCUUUCUUUCCCUGCUCCAAAAUUCCAGUUCAGAGGGGUGUCCAGGCAAAUCCAGCUCUGGUGUAAGUUGCUGCCUUACAGGCCUUGGAUAAUUAAAAGAACAAAGAGGAAAUGUAGUUAAAACCAUCCUGGGUGGUUUGAAUUUUAACAAACAGCC